AUACGGGAGGCAGCAGUAAGGAAUAUUGGACAAUGGCCGCAAGGCUGAUCCAGCCAUCCAGCGUGCAGGAAGAAGGCCCUAUGGGUUGUAAACUGCUUUUAUCAGGGAAGAAACCUCUGGAUUCACUCCGGAGCUGACGGUACCUGAAGAAUAAGCACCGGCUAACUCCGUGCCAGCAGCCGCGGUAAUACGGAGGGUGCGAGCGUUAUCCGGAAUUACUGGGUUUAAAGGGUGCGUAGGCGGCUUUGUAAGUCAGGAGUGAAAGUUUGCAGCUCAACUGUAAAAUUGCUUUUGAUACUGCGAGGCUAGAAUUAGGAUGAGGUCAGCGGAAUGUGGCAUGUAGCGGUGAAAUGCAUAGAUAUGCCAUAGAACACCAAUUGCGAAGGCAGCUGGCUAGACCUGGAUUGACGCUGAGGCACGAAAGCGUGGGGAGCGAACAGGAUUAGAUACCCCUGUAGUCCG
rnacentral:rRNA from 1 species